rnacentral:rRNA from 1 species
CCUACGUGAGGCAGCAGUGAGGAAUAUUGGUCAAUGGGCUUACGCCUGAACCAGCCAAGUCGCGUGAGGGAAGACUGCCCUAUGGGUUGUAAACCUCUUUUGUCAGGGAGCAACGCCGGCUACGUGUAGCCGGACUGAGAGUACCUGAAGAAAACGCAUCGGCUAACUCCGUGCCAGCAGCCGCGGUAAUACGGAGGAUGCGAGCGUGAUCCGGAUUUAUUGGGUUUAAAGGGUGCGUAGGCGGAAUGCCAAGUCAGCGGUAAAAUCGCGGGGCUCAACCUCGCUCCGCCGUUGAAACUGGCGUUCUUGAGUGGGCGAGAAGUAUGCGGAAUGCGUGGUGUAGCGGUGAAAUGCAUAGAUAUCACGCAGAACUCCGAUUGCGAAGGCAGCAUACCGGCGCCCAACUGACGCUGAAGCACGAAAGCGUGGGUAUCGAACAGGAUUAGAUACCCCUGUAGUC